AGCGAACGCUGGCGGCAGGCCUAACACAUGCAAGUCGAACGAAGUCUUCGGACUUAGUGGCGGACGGGUGAGUAACACGUGGGAAUGUGCCUUUAGGUUCGGAAUAACUCAGGGAAACUUGUGCUAAUACCGAAUGUGCCCUUCGGGGGAAAGAUUUAUCGCCUUUAGAGCGGCCCGCGUCUGAUUAGCUAGUUGGUGAGGUAAAGGCUCACCAAGGCUACGAUCAGUAGCUGGUCUGAGAGGAUGACCAGCCACAUUGGGACUGAGACACGGCCCAAACUCCUACGGGAGGCAGCAGUGGGGAAUCUUGCGCAAUGGGCGAAAGCCUGACGCAGUCAUGCCGCGUGGAUGAUGAAGGUCUUAGGAUUGUAAAAUCCUUUCACCGGUGAAGAUAAUGACUGUAGCCGGAGAAGAAGCCCCGGCUAACUUCGUGCCAGCCGCCGCGGUAACAC
rnacentral:rRNA from 1 species